CAGUAGCCGCGGGAAUACGAAGGGGGCUAGCGUUGCUCGGAAUUACUGGGCGUAAAGGGAGCGUAGGCGGACAUUUAAGUCAGGGGUGAAAUCCCAGAGCUCAACUCUGGAACUGCCUUUGAUACUGGGUGUCUUGAGUGUGAUAGAGGUAUGUGGAACUCCGAGUGUAGAGGUGAAAUUCGUAGAUAUUCGGAAGAACACCAGUGGCGAAGGCGACAUACUGGAUCAUUACUGACGCUGAGGCUCGAAAGCGUGGGGAGCAAACAGGAUUAGAUACCCCGGUAGUCCCUGUCUCUUAUAC
rnacentral:rRNA from 1 species